GCCGUCGUAGCAUAGCGGUAGUGCGGCGGUCUUGUAAACCGCAGGUCGUGGGUUCGAUCCCCACCGACGGCU
rnacentral:tRNA from 1 species